UUCCAUUUUUUUCCUUUUCUCAUAUUUUUUCUUUUCCCUUCUCUUCUUUCCCCUACCCCUCCCACUUCCCCUGCUCCUUUAGACCUUUUCUUCCUGUUACACAAUAUCCAUUAUCCAUUUUAAAAAUUACAAUAUCAAGAUCUAGGAGACAUUACCACAGAUUUUACAGAAUUUAAAAGGAUAUAGAAAGCAUAUUUCAAAAAUCUGUUUUGAAAUAAAUUUGACAACUUCUAAGAAGUAGCUGGAAGACAAAUUAAUGAAACUAACUCUGGAGGAAAUAUAAAAUUUGAAUAGCACCUAUUAAAGAAAGUAUAUUCCUAGCUUGAAAACGUACCUAUAUGACAACAGGCUCGUAUACAUUUUAACUGAUAAAUUAUAUCAAACAAUUAAAGCAGAAAAAAAAAGGAACACUUCUCCCCUCAUUUUAGGAAAUCAACAUUGCGCUAAUCCUAAAUUGGAUAAAGAUAAUAGAAGAAAAAGUAUGAACAUAGAUAGAAAUGGGUUUAACAAAACAAACUAUUAGAAAUCAGAUCUGGCAGUAUGUAGAAAGUGGUUUUAUUAUAGGGAUGGCAGUGUUGGUUCAGCAUUGGAUGAUCCACCCCCAAAAGUCAUCAUUUUAACAGAGGAAAGGAAAAAGCCGUAUGACCCUGUCACUAGUUGGAGAAAAAUGACUGGACUAAAUUCCACAGCUGUUCAUGGUAAAAGCUAUCAGGAGACUAGAAGUAGAACAGAACCUUCUCAACAGAUUAAAGACAUGUACUCCAUACUUCCAGCGAGAACACCUUAUAUGAAUGGAGAAGAUACAAUGCUUUCUCCUUAAGGUGGGGAACAAGGGCAGACAUGCAUACUCUUCACCUGUCCAUUAAACUUUGAAACCUAGGCCCAAACCAAAAUAGUCUGGCAAUAAAAUGACACAAUUAGGAUAGGAUUGGCAAGGUAGAAGCAAAAUCUUUAUAUGUAGAUGAAAUGAUCAUCCACAGAGAAAAUACUAAGAAAUCUCUAGGAGCCCCUAGAACUUGUACUUGAAUUUAGCAGGAUUAGAAAUCACAAGGUGUAUAUAAAAAUUCAGGUCUAUGUAUACUUGCUAUAAAUGAAGAAUUGGAUAUUGAAAUUUAGAAGUUAUGUAGGAGUGCAAAGGACCUAGAAAAGUAAAAAGAAAAAGAAAAAAAA
rnacentral:lncRNA from 1 species